CGUGGGCUGCCCUGAAGCCGCUCUGACUUUUCCUUUGAGACGGACGGGAGUGCUCGCUCGCUGCUUGCUUGAAAGGGCAGAGUCAUGCUCACGCCCUCAUAUAUUGGAAGGUGGCAUGUCACGUGCUUGUCUCGGUCAUGUUUGAACUUGAAAAAGAGGUGGAGUCAUAUGACGUCUCUCGGUGGAGAGUUCAUAUAAGAAAAUUAAAAUGAAAAUAAAACCCUUCCAGCAUCCAAUUAUGCGGAAGCGGCCUGCUAUGCAAUCCAUCAUUUCCAAAUGUGACACGGAUGUGGAAUUGUUUUGAGGUGGCUUCUUUCAUCAGCAGGUGGCUCUGGCCUGGGCGGCGCCGCAGGACUAAUUGGAAUAAUCCAACUGCUGACUUUGAAGUGUAAAAAGGGUCUGCAGGAUUGGAGUCUUGUGCAAAGAGAGAAACCACCGUCUUUGCUCGAGUCGGACAGGAUUGGGAAACCCGAGCAGGCCUGAAGUGUCGCUUACAAGAAGCUUUGUCACGAGAGGCUCUCACCAUCAAAACACUUUUUUUUACUCCGCUUCCUCGUGGCUCCAGUUGUGAGCAAACCUGCGAGCAAAGCGAUUAAACUGGAUUUCUUCAGGAUUGGCAGAGCCAGCUGGCGCUUUCUACUUUUAUUCUGCAGCUUUUCCAUCGGAUCAACUUUUUUCCCUGCCGAAUGACCCAACCGGGUCAUGUAAACGGGAGCGGGUGUCACUCUCAUACGAGCCACGGGUGCCGCUGCAUCUGCUCCAGGGUGGCCCGCUUCUCCGGAUCCAAAUUCAAGCAUUUCCACAAGAAAUCUUCACAUUCUGCUCAAAGAGCCACCAAAAUUCAAGCGACGGUUGUUUGCAAGGAAGAAACGAAAAUGGCGGGAUCCUACCUUCAGACAGAACCCGAUUUAGCCUCAGCAUCUGGGAAAGGAACAUGACGGUGUCAAAUCGCUUGGUUCCGGCCAUCAGCUCAAAGAGAAGCGCGCCCAGAUGCCACACGGUGGUAGGACCGGCGCUGUACGUCCGUCUCAGAACGUACUCCGGAGGAGCGUAGCACAAGGUGCCUGCGAGGAACCCAGAUGAACGUCUGAAGCCAAGGAGACGCAAGAGUGGGUGGGGCGUCCUACCGUUGUAGUCCCGGUAAGGCUCGUUGCUGGCGAAGCAGCUGCAGCCGAAAUCGAUGAUUCGCACGCGAGGGACGCCGGACGUGGCCUCCAGGAGGAUAUUUUCUUGCUUCAGGUCUCGAUGGAACACGUCCACCGCGUGCAUGUCGAUGGCCGCCGCCACCAGCUGCUUCAUGAUGUUCUGUCCGGCGGACACAAACAUGGAGUCGUGACAGCAACCGCAUCGCGUGUCUCAUGCGUACCUUUGCCUCGCACUCGGGCAGCGCGCCGAUCCGGCAUCUGGUGAUGUAAGUGAAUAGGUCUACGGACGGGACGGGCCUCUCCAUGACCAGGACAAUCUGAUGCUCCAGAUCAUAUUUGUUAAACAGCGACACGACAGCAGACGUCCCGUCUGAGUUCUUCUUGAUUGAUGCUUGCAGCAUGAGCAACGCUUCGAUGGGGAUGUCCUUCUUCAACCCGUUGAUGUUCUGAUGUUAAAAAAAAGAAAAAAAAAAGGUUUCAGUGAAAAUUCGGUUCUAUUCAUUUUUUUAUGAUAGCCGUGACAACUCGUAGGACUUUUACUCAAUCUGGAAGGCAACUUUCAGGAAUGUCUUGACCUCUUUGACCUCAAUCCACUCAAAUGUGUAAUUCCUCUCAGUAAGAAUCUAAACCUGCCCCACCCAACUGGUCCCUGGCGAGAUGUCCAAACAAGUCAGAUUGUCCUUCUCGCAAGAUUAGAUGAGUGAAACUGCCAGUCUUUGACUGGAUUCUAAUCCCCCACAGCCAACUGUCCUUUUAUUUUUUUCUAAUGUACAAAUCAUUUCUUUUUCCAGUGGACCUCAGUUUUUGGGUCCAAGUUCAAAUGAAUGUCCGUGUCGGUGGAGUCGGGCAAAGUACUCACCAACGGGACCCGUUUGACCUCUUUGGGGAUGUAUUUGAUUGCCACCUGAGGGAUCGGAGCGUCGUUAGUGGGUGACCGCGCCAAGCGCUGAUUUUUUUUUUGUUUUUGGGUGAGUUAUCGAGACUCACCGGCAAGCAGUCGCUUUUCCUGUAACCAGCAUAAACGGAUCCGAAGCCUCCUUCGCCGAGUUUGUUGACUUGCUGAUAUUUGCGUGCAAACGAAGCUGCCGAGAUGAGGCACGAGCGCUGACGUAGCUUCGCUUUGAACGUGGAUCGGCAAAAUGCAAAUGGGAGGUUACCUCGAUUGGUCGCAGCCUGUUGGGAGGCGGUGGACCCCGGUGGCACGUCGCCGCUGCUCUCCAUGGAGGUCACGGGCUUCGGACUGGCCUCCUUCUUGGACUCUCCGAAAAAGACCACAGACAGUUGACUGGGGAUUUUACUCACCUGCUUGGAGAGGCUCGCUAGCACCGAGUCGGACUUUCCAUCGGUUUCCACGGCUGGUGUGUUUUUCGCGGUUGGUUUAUGCCUCGACUUUUUUGCCAAGGUGUGUCUCAGUUGACCCAAUCUUUUUUUUGUCCUUUUAACCAGCCCGCCUUCUUCGGUUUUCUUGGUAUUUUUGCUGGGCUUUCUCUUGGUGGCUUUGGGCGAGGUACUUCUCACUUGGCCUUCACUCGGUUUCCUUGGCUUUUUUCCGAAGGCUUUCAGUUCCGAUUUCCUCUUUGUCCUUCGUGGCACUGCCUUCUCUGAACCCUCGGCAUAUUUAUCCUUCUUCUUCUGUGGUUUUGUGUUUGACUUUCUCCCGUUCCCUUUGGACGGUGCCGGUUUUAACAACUCUCCAGUUGGUUUGGCCCUCGCUUUCUUUGUGCGAGUCUCAGUUUUUCUGCUGAACCUGGUUCUCCUGCUCCCUUUAGUCAGCCCGGCCUGGAUUGAUUUUCCUUUCUGCUUCACUGUGAGUGUGUCCGUUUCUUUGGGGGACUUUGCUCUGCUCUUCAAGCUUCCUUCAGAUGGUUUGCUACUCUGAUUCUUCUGACAGGAAUCUGCUUCAACGUUUUGCAUUUUCCUUUUCGCGUUGGCCUUCUUGGAGCUCUCAGACUUGUUUUUGAGAGUCACUGAUGUCGUGUUGGACUUUCUGGUGCUCACCUUAGCCGGUCUACCCAUCGCGGACGCAUCGGGUUGUUCGACCUCUCCUUCAGGGUUCAACUUUGUCCCGGUGCCACUCCUCGACGCGCCAUCAACGGACAUGUGAAGGCUGUGAGAUGCGAGCUCUUUCUGUUCACUGGUGCAUGGCAUCAUGUCACGGCGCCUCUUUGGGGUUUGGGCGCCAUCAUUGCUGGCCUUUCUUUUUAGGGUUGACACAGCACAAUAUUCCGCAAAGGAGGUCUUUUCUCCUUUUUCUAGAAUGGACACAAAAUCAUGGAUUUGAUUCAUGGAGAUCUCCUGUGCACAAUUGUCAGUGGAAGAUAAACAACUUUUAGAAGAGGUUUUCCUGAAGACUCACAAGAUGUAACAACUCACCUGAACGGCCGUCGGAGGAUGCAGCCUCGAAAUGUUGUAGACUGUCAUCAUCCAUGUUGUUUCAUGGCACAGGCAAGAAGAGGAUAACGUUGAAGUGGCAGCAAUGUCAUCAGUUUGCAAAGUUUUGUGUCCAAUAAGAAGAAGGUGCAGUAAUGGUAGAAGUGGACGGCUUCCAUUCUUCAGCGUCAAAA